GUGGGUGUAGGAAAGUGGCUAAUCCGCCUGAUUUGGGAUCAGGAAAUCGCGAGUUCGAAUCUCGCCACCCGCACCA
rnacentral:tRNA from 1 species